rnacentral:tRNA from 1 species
GCUCGGGUGGCGGAACUGGCAGACGCGCCAGACUUAGGAUCUGGUUCCGUAAGGAGUAAGGGUUCGACUCCCUUCCCGAGCA